rnacentral:rRNA from 1 species
UACGAAGGGGGCUAGCGUUGCUGGAAAUAACGGGGCGUAAAGGGUGCGUAGGCGGGUCUUUAAGUCAGGGGUGAAAUCCUGGAGCUCAACUCCAGAACUGCCUUUGAUACUGAAGAUCUUGAGUUCGGGAGAGGUGAGUGGAACUGCGAGUGUAGAGGUGAAAUUCGUAGAUAUUCGCAAGAACACCAGUGGCGAAGGCGGCUCACUGGCCCGAUACUGACGCUGAGGCACGAAAGCGUGGGGAGCAAACAGG